GGUUUCCAAAUUGAAGAUUCUUCUUAAUCUGCCACAUAAGCUCCAAAGCACCUAAAAAAUAAGCCACUUUCCUUUUUUGAAUCGUUGUUUCAUGAUGAACCAGCAUUGGGUGAUCAACUCUGUGCCAUGACUGAGUGUUGUUACUGCUAAUUACAGCUUGCAGAAUUGUGCUCUCCGGUGGAUGGGAAAUACAACUCCAUUUUGUGCCCUACUGAGGGUUCUAGGCCCCUGAAGGAUGUUACACCUCUGAGUGUAAAUAGAGUAGAUGGAGACAUAAAGGGACCAUGGAGUACGGAUGACGUUGAACACAAGCAAAAGUGGCAUGUUGGAUGCAAUGUGGUGCCUAAAAACUAUUUCCAAAACUAUUUAUUCAUUUAAAGUUAGUCUAGGGACUUGGAAGGAAAUUUGAGAGAAAAGUUAUUAAAAAUACCCCAUGCUGACAAUUGAUGUAUUAUGUUGUAUUAUUUUUUAAUUGAGAUUGGCAGCUUGGCACAAGGGAGAAAAAUACAACUUCAUCUUGUUCACGUAUAUCUCCACCAAGAUCGUUUUUACCUUUUGGUAUGGUGAAUAUUCCUAUUGUAAUUUUCAUUUUACUCAUGAGUAGUUAAAUUUAUUAGUUAGGGUUAUGGAAGCCUUGUAGCAUACAAUCUAUUACUAUGGAUUUUGAAUUCAUUAUGCAUUGAUUUACUUAUA